UCGCCUCUCCGUGCUUGGUC
rnacentral:snRNA from 1 species